GCGCGGGGCGGCGUGCGGCAACAAGCGCGCGGCCUGUCAUGCCGGGGAGGCGUACGUCGUCAGGGCGGCGCGUGUCGUUCGGGGCGGCACCCGGUGCCCC
rnacentral:tRNA from 1 species